rnacentral:rRNA from 1 species
UAAUACGUAGGGUGCGAGCGUUGUCCGGAAUUAUUGGGCGUAAAGAGCUCGUAGGCGGUGUGUCACGUCGGCCGUGAAAACCUGCAGCUUAACUGUGGGCGUGCGGUCGAUACGGGCAUCACUGGAGUUCGGCAGGGGAGACUGGAAUUCCUGGUGUAGCGGUGAAAUGCGCAGAUAUCAGGAGGAACACCGGUGG